UUUGUUCGAUUUUGGAUUGAAAACCACGGCCUUGAAUGGAGUUCGCCCGCGUUUGACCGAGCUCCAUCCUGGACGGUUUCUACCACCGUCGUGGCCUAUGCUCCGCUGUGAGCCAGAGAACUAGCUUGACUUGGGGAUUUGCUAUGAGAGAGUGACUAGAGAUUCAAAGAACUAACUUGACUCGGGAUUUGUUAUGGGAGAGUGACUAGAGGCAAAAAUUUUACAUUUUUAUUCUAGAUUAGGAUUGUUAUUAAAGUUUGAUGCAAGAUUUUAAAAAAUUGUUGGUUUUGUGGGAUAUUAAAUUUUGAUUAGUUAUUUAAAUUAAAAUUUGAAUAUUAGUAAUUUAUUUUUUUCGUUGUUUGUGGAUAAUAUUAUGACGAAAUACCUUUCAUACUUAUAGAAAGAGUUUUUAAUGACUAUAUGGUA